AAGAAGAAAUUUUGAGUUACCUAAGUUCGUGGGUUCUCAACACAAUUGUCUAAAAAGCCGGAGCGUAUCUUAGCCGUCCAAUGCGCACUAUUGUGGGAUGGGAUAUUUUUUGGCGACAACGAGAAAAAAAGCCGAGACCGACUCUGACACAUGUUUGCUAUUAUCUAUAAUUUAUUUAUUAUAUUUAUAUUUAUUUAUAUAUUUAUAAUAUAUAUACUUAUUUAUGAUAUGAUUAUUAAUUAAUAUAUUAUUUUUCUAUCUCUCAAAAAAAAUAUAUAUAUUAAUUUUCCUUUCUCAUCACAUCUCCCUUGCCUUUUCAUGGCUAUUUCUCCUUCGAUCGUAGAGGAAGGGGAUGGCGACGCACAAGGACGCGUGCUUGCGAUCGCAACCCCUUCUUCGAAUCGCUUCUUCCCCUCUCCCUAAGCUGCUUCUGCCUCUGCUUGUGCUUCCUCGAAAAGCACUUUCACUUUGGUCGGAAAAACCCUAAUCUCUUCUUCUUAGAUCUCUCGGUUUAGCAAUGGCGANGAAUCAAACAAAUUUAGAGGUUGGGUAGUAAAAUUAAAAAUUUAAAAGGUUGGAUUGUUGAUUCAAUAAGGAUCGUUGUUUAAGUAAAUUUUGUAUGUUUUUAUCUAUAAAUAAUUACUGGCAUAAUUUUUACUUGUAUGUGUUGUAUAUACAUAUUUUAAAUAUCGUUCUCUAAAUUAAGCUUUUGUAGAAUAACGGUGGAUAUAUAUUUUUUAUAAUGUUGGAUAUAUAUUUUUUAAUAUGAUAUUAGAAAAGAAAUCUUGAAGUUUGAAUCUCAAAUUCCAUUGGGCAAAUCAAAUGGCCCUUUAGGUGAAUUUAGAGAGUCAUUUUACUAUUUUCUUUUUUUUGAGAGAGAGAGGUAGUAUGCUAUCUGCUUCGUUUAUUUUUUUAAAAAUAAAUUUAGCUGAAAAUGUGAAUCAAUUAGAAUUCAAACUUAGGAUCUUAGAUACUAAUCAUCAAGCAGUUUGCCACUUAUAUUAGGGACGAUCAGUAGCAUCAUUUUACUAUCUAAUGAUCCUUAUAAUGAAAUAUACGGUAAAUUAUUAGGCAAUAAAAUAGUAAUAUUUUGUAUUACAGACUUUACAUUAUAGCAAAGUAAAAAAAGAGCGAAAUUAUAUGACAACAAAUUAGUUUUGCCCAUCAAUAAUAUAGUUAUAUAUAUAUAUAAAAAUUAAAUAUUUACAAAAUAAUUAAAAUUAAAAGCUAAUAACUAUGUAAGAAUUUUUUUUUUUAAAUAACACGCUAUCUGCUUUAUUUAUUUAUUAAGUAAAUAAAUUUACCUACAUCAGGUUGAGAUAGUGAAGACCUUAGAAGGGCGGAAAAGGGAAAGGCGGAGGUUCGCGAAAGAGACUAAAUUUGUGGGUUCGGAAAGCAAAAGAAGAAAUUUUGAGUUACCUAAGGGCACGUUUAUUUUGGUGUAAGUGGAGUGAUGGCACUCAAGUUCCAUCACUUCCGUUAUUUGUUUUGAUGUAAGUGAAAAAUAUAAUGUAACUCAAGUUACGUUAGAGCUCCACUUCAUCUACUCUUGACUUCUUUCUCUAAAGUGCCGAACUCGACUUUUACUACACUCAACUUCCUCUAAAAAAUUUAUUAAACAGUAAAAUCUAAACUCUACUUCCUUUAUAAUGGGUUAGAAUUACCUUAUUUAUAAUAAAUUAGGAUUAUUUUUAAAUAAUAAUAAAAAAAUUAAUUAUAUAAUAUAUUNUAAUGAGUUAGAAUUACUUUAUUUAUAAUAAAUUUGGAUUAUCUUUAAAUAAUAAUAAAAAAAUUAAUUAUAUAAUAGAUUAAAUUUUAUAGUGGUAAAUUUACUACUAUAUUUAGGAGAUAAUGAGAUCCACUUACAUCAAAACAAACAACGGAACUCAAAAAACUAAUUUUACCAGCACCAAGUUACAUCAAAACAAAUAACAGAAAUGAUUAAAUUUAACUUUCAAACGGUACAAAUUACGUCAAAAUAAAUAAUAAAAAAAUAAUCACACUUCAGAAAAAUUCAAAUAUCAAUAUACUUAAUUUACAUUGAAUCUACAAAUACGUCAAUACAAACGCCCCUAAUAA
rnacentral:lncRNA from 1 species